AGUUGCGUAGCCUAAUAGCAAGGCAUCUAACUACAAAUCAGAAGAUUCUAGGUUUAAUCCCUAGCGUAAUUA